rnacentral:tRNA from 2 species
UAUUCAACUAUAAAAACA